CAUUGUGCUUUAUUUGUCAGAAACCAAAUGCUCUCUAUUUACUCCUGUUUUCUCUGAAGGUUAUUUCAUUGUGUUCUUCAUUUUUUUAGCAUGCCUGUUUAAACAAGCAUUUGAUUUGAGUAAUAAACUGAAUAUUUCCAUCUUUCUCAGAGUAGAGUUAGAUAUUAUGUAUUGCCUCCAGGGCAAUAAAAAAUGUAGAUAAGUUAUGUAGCCCAGAAAUGUUCUGAUCAGAGCCACGUUCAUCUAAGAAUGUUAAGUCAUGAUUUGUUGUCCAGUUUAGUCUAAUUAACAUGUUAAGAGUUCAUUUCUACAGAAAAUCCAUGAUAUGCGACUGAAUGAUUACAUGAGCGAUCUAAGGAAUUUUCCUCAAAAUUAGGGUUUGUUUCUAGAGAAGAGAUGCAAGCUUAUUUCUGUAUUUUAUAUCUACCAGCUGAAAAUGCCUGUGUGGUCCAAGGAAUUGUGCUCAAAAUCAGGGGCCUGAAUGUUGCCAUCCUAUUCAGAUUUGUUGCAGUAAUCAUUAGAAUAAUCUUGACAUGUGCAUUUGAGUAUUUUGUUAUUAGCUAUUUAUUUCUUUUUUCGAACAAUUAGCUAUUGAUUUCUUCCUUUGUUUCCUGGUCUUUGGACAGCCCAUGCAUAAUCAGGAAUGUUACAGUAAAACUUGUUUGUUCCACUACAUGAGGGGAAGAAAGAUACCUGUUUAACUCUACAUCACAUCUUCACGGACACCACAAACAAAUUUUGCAGACUACUUGCUUCAGAGCAUGUUGCAUAAUGAAUUUAUCCUCACAAAAUUGUUUGAUUCAAUGAUGAAAGCCAGUGCUAUGUUUUCUUGGUCAGCUAUGCUAACGUGGCCUUGAGCAACAUAAGAAAGAAAGGUCCUGAAUGCUGAAGAGUGUCGUGACUAUGAGAGUAUCAACACUCCAUAACCAUUGCUUCAGCAGGGCAGUUCAUGUUUGUCAUGGUGCAGAUGACCGCAACAAUCUUGAUUACUCUAACCUAUGGGAUCAUCAAAAUCUGGGACUACCUCAAGCGCCUUCUAUUCGACCUUUGGGUCUGCGAUGCAAGUUUGUGUUGCAGCUUCUUUUUAGAUGUAUCUGUGUACUGCAGACAAAAUGGUCAGCACUGUUUUGACCACUGUGUACCAUGUGCGCGUGGACGUGUUCUAUGUUUUCUCGGCUCCCAGAGUGGAGCUGUUUAUUACUAUCUUACUCCUAAACCUGGAAAACCGUGAACUAUCUGGGUUGAUUUUGUACUUGUAUUAUUAGGACAUGUUUGUACCCAGAAUGCUUGUGAUCUAAACUUAGAAAUGUUACCCUCCUGCUAAUGUUCUUGAAGUUACCAGCAUGUCAUUGCAGAAAUAUAGUAAGUUAGCAGUCAA